UACGUAGGGUGCAAGCGUUAAUCGGAAUUACUGGGCGUAAAGCGUGCGUAGGCGGCUUUGCAAGACAGAUGUGAAAUCCCCGGGCUUAACCUGGGAACUGCAUUUGUGACUGCAUGGCUGGAGUGCGGCAGAGGGGGAUGGAAUUCCGCGUGUAGCAGUGAAAUGCGUAGAUAUCGGGAGGAACACCCGUAGCGAAGGCGGCACUCUGGGCCGGUACUGACGCUGAGGAGCGAAAGCGUGGGGAGCAAACAGG
rnacentral:rRNA from 1 species